UCUAUCGGAAGAUCAAGAUUUGAUCAAACAGACUCCGAUUUUUUAAAUGAAUACAUAACAAAACCCGCAUACUUGGAAUUCCAUUAAUCAUCCCUACAAGUGAAUGGAGCAGCUAGUGGACGUACAGACUGACACUAAAGAAACAACUGGCGCAGUGAACUCGGUAGUAUUAUCUCGGUUCACUAGAGCUUAACGUGCAUUCACAACUAAUUUAAAUUUUGAAAUUAAUUUAUUUUAGUAGCUGUUCAAUUAGUCAUGCUUUGUUAAUUAGUUAUGUAACUUGUGGUCCAUUUUGUUUAUGUUGACUUGAUGUAUACCAACAUGUUUGAUGAUAUCAAUAAAUAAUUGAAUUGAAUCGAUUGUCUGGUAAACAAUUCGGCCGAUAGGUGGCAUUAUCCGGAAACGCGUAAAACGAAAGUACAAAUGUAGUGACAAAAUUCGUUCAGCUAUGAUUAGCGCUUUAAAAUGGUUUGUCCUUAUGAUGUUUGUACAUGUAAUUUUAUGUUUUUCGAUGCAAACUUGAUUGAAGGAUAGAAAGUUCUCAGUAGAAAUGUUCUGGCCAGCUGUUUAACCAUUCUUGAAAACUCAUAAAUAGCUAACAAAAACAUUGAGUUAAAGUAGUAUUAGGCCUAAAUUUGAAAAUUUUAUUUUGUUGUAACGAGAGGCCCACAUGCCUUAUCGGUCACCUGAAUACUAGUUAAAAGUAUCAAUAGUCCCAAGGGCUAUGAAUCUAGAAAAAAAAUUCCUGUUCUGAAUAGAUAAGCUAAAUUUUAAUAUUCAGCAACAUUAUAAAACAAGAUGUGUUCUUAAAACUUCAAUGCCCUCAAAAGUGCAUACACAGAUGAAAGGCUUUAUAUAAUAUAUGUAUUAACAUUAAACGAUAUGACUAAUUUGAACCCAUCCUAAAGUCAUAUCCCUGGGGUUGCGAAAUUCGCUAUUUUUUCUAAAUCUUUUUCUGCUAUUCCUAUUUAUGCAUUUAGAUUUUAUACGGAAUCAGCAAACUUAAAGAAGUCCUUCAAAUCAUUAUAAUAAUUUUGGCACCACCCUGAAACCAAACCCCUACCCCUGGGAUCAUCAAAUUUACAAUUUUGAUAAAGGAGUAUCUACUUUUUAUAAAUAUCUCUUUAGUUUCAAUUUGGUAGAAGCCUUCCUGCUUUACAUCACUACAUGUAUGUAUUUAGUUUUUCUUAAACAUGUGCGGUUGAAGAGAAGAAGUUUUUUUUUUUUUUAAAUGUCAAGUUUUGCAGUUUUUGCCCUGCCCCUAGGGCAACAGCGGUGCAAGGGUCCUAAAAUUUACAAUUUAUGACCCCUUGUGCCAAAAAUGCUUCAUACCAAAUUUGAAUAGAAAUAGAAUGGUAGUUAUCAAGAAGUUAAAAAUGUCUAUUGUUCACACAUUUAAUAACUGACCAUUUUGGCCCCAACCUGAUGCCAAAAUCCAAUCCCUGGGAUCAUCAAAUUUAAAAUUUUGGUAAAGGACUACCUGCUCUUGAUAAAUAUCCACUUAGUUUCAAUUUAGUAUCAAUAGCACUAAAGGAGGGGUGUUUUAAGUGCUUUACACAUAAGCACUUGAUAUAAAGUUUGGCUCCGCCCAUGGAUCAGAACUCCGACCCCGGGAAUCGUGAAUUUACCUUUUUGGCAGAGGCCUUCCUGCACUACAUCACUAUGCAUUUAGGUUUUCUUACACAUUUGGGGUUGUAGAAAAGAUUUUUGAAAAUUGUUCAAUUUUUGGCCUUUUUUUUUUUUUGCCCCGCCCCUAAGGCUCCAGGGAUACAAGAGUCCUGGAGUUUACAAUUUAUGUCCCCCUUCUGCCAAAGAUGCUUCAUACCAAAUUUGAAAAGAAUUAGAAUGAUUGUUACAAAGAAUAAGUUAAAAUUUCUGUUGUUCACGCAUUUAAUCUUUCACCAUUUUGGCUUCACCCUAAUACCAAAACCCUUACCCCUGGGAUCAUCAAAUUUAUAAUUUUGGUAAAUCACUACCUGCUCUUUAUAAAUAUUCAUUUAGUUUCAAUAGCACUAAAAAAAGAGGUUAUUUAGGUGUUUUACACAUAAACACUAAAUACUAAGUUUGGCCCCGCCCUGGGGUCAGAACCCCUACCCUGGGGAUCAUGAAAUUUACAAUUCUGGUAGAGGCCUUCCUGCUUUACAUCACUAUGCAUUUAGGAUUUUUUUUUACACAUGUGGUGUUGUAGAGAAGAAGAAUUUUGAAAAUUAUUUUUGGCAGUUUUUGCCCCGCCCUUAGGGCCCCAGGGGUGCUGGAGUCCUGAAAUUUACAAUUUACGUUCCCUUGAUUCAAAGAUGCUUCAUACCAAAUUUGAAAAGAAUUUGAAUAGUAGUUAUCAAGAAGUUAAAAAUGUUUAAUUGUUAACGCACGACGACAAUCAAUUGUAAUAGGUUACCUGAGUUUACUCAGGCGACCUAAAAAUGUCUUAUAUGUAUGAUAGUUUUCUACUUAAUUUUACAUGUAACCAUAAUCGUUGAUAAAAUUAAAACUAAGUUUCAGA